AACGAACGCUGGCGGCAGGCCUAACACAUGCAAGUCGAACGGGGUGCGUCGCUUCGGUGGCGUUACCUAGUGGCGAACGGGUGAGUAACGCGUGGGAACCAACCCUUGGGUACGGGACAACCCCGGGAAACCGGGACUAAUACCGUAUACGCCCUGCGGGGGAAAGAUUUAUCGCCCAGGGACGGGCCCGCGUCGGAUUAGGUAGUUGGUGGGGUAACGGCCCACCAAGCCCGCGAUCCGUAGCUGGUCUGAGAGGAUGAUCAGCCACACUGGGACUGAGACACGGCCCAGACUCCUACGGGAGGCAGCAGUGGGGAAUAUUGGACAAUGGGGGAAACCCUGAUCCAGCCAUGCCGCGUGAGUGAAGAAGGCUCUAGGGUUGUAAAGCUCUUUCAGCGGGGAAGAUAAUGACGGUACCUCUGAAGGAAGCCCCGGCUAACUCCGUGCCAGCAGCCGCGGUAAUACGGAGGGGGCAAGCGUUGUUCGGAAUUAUUGGGCGUAAAGGGCACGUAGGCGGUCAAGUAAGUUGGUGGUGAAAGCCCUCGGCUCAACCGAGGAAUUGCCCCCAAAACUGCUCGACUUGAGUCCCGGAGAGGGUGGCGGAAUUCCCAGUGUAGCGGUGAAAUGCGUAGAUAUUGGGAGGAACACCAGUGGCGAAGGCGGUCACCUGGACGGGUACUGACGCUGAGGUGCGAAAGCGUGGGGAGCAAACAGGAUUAGAUACCCUGGUAGUCCACGCUGUAAACGUUGAACACUUGGUGUUGCGGGUAUCGACCCCUGCAGUGCCGAAGCUAACGCAUUAAGUAUCCCGCCUGGGGAGUACGGCCGCAAGGCUAAAACUCAAAGGAAUUGACGGGAACCCGCACAAGCGGUGGAGCAUGUGGUUCAAUUCGACAAUAACCGAAAAACCUUACCAGGGCUUGAAAUCCUAGCUGCACAGCCGCAGAAACGUGGCUUCCUUCGAGGGUGCUAGGACAGGUGCUGCAUGGUUGUCGUCAGCUCGUGUCGUGAGAUCUCGGGUUAAGUCCUUUAACGAGCGCAACCCCUAUGGUAUGUUACAGUGAUCAUACCAAACUGCCUCGGAUAACGAGGAGGAAGGUGGGGAUGACGUCAAAUCAGCAUGGUCCUUUGACGCCCUGGGCUACACGCGUGCUACAAUGGAUACCACAAUGGGUCGCUAAGUCGCAAGAUGGAGCUAAUCCCAUCAAAAGUAUUCUCAGUCCGGAUUGAGGGCUGCAACUCGCCCUCAUGAAGCCGGAAUCGCUAGUAAUCGCAGAUCAGCUAUGCUGCGGUGAAUACGUUCUCGGGUUUUGUACACACCGCCCGUCACGCCAAGAGAGUCGGUAAUACCCGAAGUCCCCCAUCUUAUGGGGGCCAAAGGUAGGACUGAUGAUAGGGGCG
rnacentral:rRNA from 1 species